UGUCACGCUAAAUGGUGUUCUUUGCAUUUCUUCUUACAAUACUUUUCAAUAGAACACUGUUUCGCAUGAGACGGUUCCUCAAAAAACAUAGUAUCGUGUAUGAGCUAAACUAAAACUUAGGUUUUAUAUGGUUUUAUGUUUUCCAGUGGAUCUGGUUAGAGCUAUGUCACGCUAAAUGGCGUUCUUUGCAUUUCUUCUUACAAUACUUUUCAAUAGAACACUGUUUCGCAUGAGACGGUUCCUCAAAAAACAUAAUAUCGUGUAUGAGCUAAACAAAAACUUAGGUUUUAUAUGGUUUUAUGUUUUCCAGUGGGUCUGGUUAGAGCUAUGUCACGCUAAAUGGUGUUCUUUGCAUUUCUUCUUACAAUACUUUUCAAUAGAACACUGUUUCGCAUGAGACGGUUCCUCAAAAAACAUAAUAUCGUGUAUGAGCUAAACAAAAACUUAGGUUUUAUAUGGUUUUAUGUUUUCCAGUGGAUCUGGUUAGAGCUAUGUCACGCUAAAUGGUGUUCUUUGCAUUUCUUCUUACAAUACUUUUCAAUAGAACACUGUUUCGCAUGAGACGGUUCCUCAAAAAACAUAGUAUCGUGUAUGAGCUAAACUAAAACUUAGGUUUUACAUGGUUUUAUGUUUUCCAGUGGAUCUGGUUAGAGCUAUGUCACGCUAAAUUGUGUUCUUUGCAUUUCUUCUUACAAUACUUUUCAAUAGAACACUGUUUCGCAUGAGACGGUUCCUCAAAAAACAUAAUAUCAUGUAUGAGCUAAACUAAAACUUAGGUUUUAUAUGGUUUUAUGUUUUCCAGUGGAUCUGGUUAGAGCCAUGUCAUGCUAAAUGGUGUUUUCUGUAUUUCUUCUUGCAAUACUUUUCAAUAGAACACUGUUUGGC